GAUGGAGGUUCCAGUUCAGGAAAAUAUUAAAACAGAGAACUCAAAGGGACUUCAUAAAAUGCUUACAGCUUCUGAAUCGAUCCCCAGGAAUUCUGUGUGCUCAGUCAUGUGCUUGUGGUACCCUGGAAUAAUUUCAGACAAGUAUUGUGAUGAAAACAAGAAAUCCACAGAGACAUCCUAAGAGAAAUAUGUUACUUUUCUGGAACCGGCUUGGCACUUCUCCACCUGUGAGGGGGGUCACUGAAGAGGGUGAGUUAAAAUGCCAGAACUGAGUUUCCCACCAAGACUGCCAGAGGUGAAAGGAAAGAGCUUCACUUUCUCCACCAGAGGAUAGCUGGAUGCCCACCACCACUAGGCCACCCAACAAAAGGAAUUUCCUGGGCUGCUCUUCAGGAUUAGUAGCAGAGGGGAAAACAUAGUUAUCAGAUAUUGCAGCUCUCUGGCUCUUCUACUGUCUGUGCUGAAGGGAUCCAAGCUUCUUCAGGACCAAAGACAAAUAUCUGGGCUCGUGUCUUCAAUGAGAUCAGCAGUUAAGUACAGCGUCCUGUACUCAGCCUGCCAUCACUGCCGUCCACAUGAUGCUGCUGCCUGUAACUGGGAAAGUCCAAAAGGAAUGGAAUGGAAGUGUCAACAGCAGUCUGAGUCAACUCCAUCUUCUCUGAGCUGGCAACGCAGGGCCGUGAGAUCCAGUUUUAGAAAGCAGAGAAGAAACCAAGAGGAAAUCCUACCUCAUGAGUCUGUAGAGCCUGGCAUCACUUGACAGCUCUCCCAGGGUGGCAUGGCUCAGGCAUCAGUGUCUGGUAUUGCUGACUGCACAGACAUCACUUCGCUUGGAGAAAAUCAAUGGGAUUCACUGUGGAGUGAAGCGUUACCAGCCAGAACUGCCUAAAAAAAACCCCAAAGGAGUUGGAAAUUCCCCCCUGGAAUACAUCUCUAGGGUCACUUAAUUCUCUGGAUCCUACCCAACUGCUAUUGAAGUUAAUUGAAAAAACUCCCAUUGACUUGAAGAGGUUUUGGAUCCGACUCAAAAGGCUCUUAGUGGCAGCAGAUUACAAGAAGGACUCCCACUGUGCAAUUCCAGCCAUCUGCCUAUGGGAAGGAUGCCGGUCCUCACAGUUGUGGUGUCUCAAACCUCUGCAAGAUUUCUGAUCUGCUUCAGUGCUGUGUGAUUUAAAUGAAUCUGUGUUACUCUGAAUUAAAACAAAUUGGGAGCGCUUGCCUGAGCCACCAGGUGUGUCAGCUGUGAUGUGUUAUGGCCAGUAAGCGAGUUAUAGUACAUAUUGUUUAAAAAGUGACUGAGACAGUGAAGAUAAGCAGCUGAGUAUUAUUCUCUACGACAUACAGCUUUCAGAAGCCAUACACCCACAAACACCCACCAAGCUGUCUCCAUCCUCCUCUGUGAAAGAAAGAAAUUGCUGCUGGGAAAUGAUGAGAAGAGAUCCUUGCAAAGAGGUACAAAGCCUUCUGGAGGAUUCCUUCGAUUUAAUUUCUCUAGCUUAAAGCCGAAUGGAGAGAACAAAGGCAGAGCUCACAGUCAUUAAUUAAGAGGAUGAAGGAAGGCAGAGGGGAUGCUGACAGGAGGUGACAGGCUCAUUGAAAAGAAAAAGUUACAUCCUGAGAAUGGGGAGAUAUUAUAGACAAUUCUUUGAGGCUUGCUGAAGUGCAAAACUAAUCCACAAGGGAGCAAUUCCCAUCGCGGAGCCUCAUUUCUUCAGGGAAUCACCAGGGACUUUGCAGUCACAGAGAAAAUGCAAAUUCUUCAAUUUCAUUUCUCCCUUGCUGUCUUUGCUGCCUCAUACCUGUGGCUGUGAUGAGUUUGGUGUCAACACCAACAGAAAUUCCUUGAAGGACCCAGUUCCUCCUUGGGAGACUGAAAACACUAGCACCCCAAGCAGGGGAACUGCAUCUCCAGCACUGCCUUGGAUGGGCUGGCAGAGACCCUGUGUGAUGUGGCUGCCCUGCAUCCUGGUGUGGGGGCUCCGUGGUCAGCACCACCAGGCACAGAGGUCCUGGUCCUCAUCACACAGGGGACAGGAGACAGGGCAAAUUUUACAAGCAGCUGAGCAAGGACCUGGAGAGCUCUGUGAAAGACACCUGCUUCUGAGUAUUCCCAGUCUGAGGAGGUAACCCCUUGGGAAAGAGCUCAUCAACAUCACCUAAAACCAGAAACUAGAUGCCAGUUGAAUGCCCUGAAUGAGAGAUCACCCUGUUUGCGUUCUUGCAGCAUCACUUCACCACCUACCUAGUUUGGUUAUAGAAGAACUCCAGCGGGAACCCAUCUUUCUUUCCCUAAUGGAGGCUCAGAUCCUGUUACUGAAGCUCUGAAUCUAUAGUCCUUCUGCAUAUGGAAAACUCCGAUGCCCAUAGCGAUGGAAAAAAUACAU